UUGCGCCGAAAAUUUAACGGGGCUAAGCGUCCAACCGAAGCUUGGGAUGUACAAUGUACGUGGUAGGGGAGCGUUGUGUAAAGGGUGAAGCGAUACCGGAAGGAGUCGUGGACAUUACACAAGUGAGAAUGCCGGAAUGAGUAGCGAGAAUUGCGUGAGAAUCGUAAUGGCCGAAAAUCUAAGGUUUCCGGGGGUAGGUUCGUCCUCCCCGGGUUAGCCGGGAGCUAAGGCGAGGCCGGAAGGCGUAGUCGAUGCACAAACGGUAGAGAUUCCGUUGCCGUACGAACUUAAGUAUACUGACACGAGCGCAGACUCCAUCCCGGGCGAUGGUCGCCCCGGGCGAAAGGGACUGAAAUUAUAGUAAGGAAGUGGAGAAAGCGAGCGGCGAGAAAAGGUAUAUGUAUGUAAUCGUGCGCCCGUACCGCAAACCGACACAGGUAGAUGAGGAGAGAAUCCUAAGGCCAUCGGGAGAAGGGUUGUUAAGGAACUCGGCAUAUUGACCCCGUAACUUCGGAAGAAGGGGUGCCUGCAGCAAUGCAGGCCGCAGUGAAAAGGCCCAGGCGACUGUUUAACAAAAACACAGGUCUCUGCAAAAGCGAAAGCUGAAGUAUAGGGGCUGACGCCUGCCCGGUGCCGGAAGGUCAAGGGGAAUGCUUAGAGCAAUCGAAGGCAUGAACUUAAGCCCCGGUCAACGGCGGCCGUAACUAUAACGGUCCUAAGGUAGCGAAAUUCCUUGUCAGGUAAGUUCUGACCCGCACGAAUGGCGUAACGAUCUGGGCACUGUCUCAACAGCCCGCCCGGCGAAAUUGUAGUACCGGUGAAGAUGCCGGUUACCCGCGACUAGACGGAAAGACCCCAUGGAGCUUUACUGUAGUUUGAUACUGAAAUUCGAUUCAUUAUGUACAGGAUAGGUGGGAGACUGAGAAACAGGGUCGUCAGGUUCUGCGGAGUCAACCUUGGGAUACCACUCUUGAUGAAUCGGGUUUCUAACCUGCUCCCUUGAAUCAGGGAGGGGGACAAUGUCAGAUGGGCAGUUUGACUGGGGCGGUCGCCUCCAAAAGAGUAACGGAGGCGUACAAAGGUCGGCUCAGUGCGGUUGGAAAUCGCGCAAUGAGUAUAAACGUAUAAGCCGGCCUAACUGCAAGACCUACAAGUCGAGCAGUAACGAAAGUUGGUGUUAGUGA
rnacentral:rRNA from 1 species